rnacentral:rRNA from 1 species
CCCUUAGAUGUCCUGGGCCGCACGCGCGCUACACUGAGUGUCUGAGAUACGAGUCUGCCUGGUCCGGCAAGGUCUAGGUAAUCGCUAAAAGACACAUCAUGCUUGGGAUAGAUUAUUGCAAAUAUUAGUCUUGAACGAGGAAUUCCUAGUAAGCGCAAGUCAACAGCUUGCGUUGAUUACGUCCCUGCCCUUUGUACACACCGCCCGUCGCUACUACUGAUUGGAUGUUUAAGCGAGGUUCUCGAACUGCUAGCGACUUAGCUUCGGUGAGGUCGCAGUGUGGGAAGUGAACCUAGCUUUGGUGUCUAGAGGAAGUAAAAGUCGUAACA